UCGAUUCCCUUAGUAGCGGCGAGCGAAACGGGAAGAGCCCAAACCAACAAGCUUGCUUGUUGGGGUUGUAGGACACUCUAUACGGAGUUACAAAGGACGACAUUAGACGAAUCAUCUGGAAAGAUGAAUCAAAGAAGGUAAUAAUCCUGUAGUCGAAAAUGUUGUCUCUCUUGAGUGGAUCCUGAGUACGACGGAGCACGUGAAAUUCCGUCGGAAUCUGGGAGGACCAUCUCCUAAGGCUAAAUACUCUCUAGUGACCGAUAGUGAACCAGUACCGUGAGGGAAAGGUGAAAAGCACCCCGGAAGGGGAGUGAAAUAGAACCUGAAACCGUGUGCUUACAAGUAGUCAGAGCCCGUUAAUGGGUGAUGGCGUGCCUUUUGUAGAAUGAACCGGCGAGUUACGAUUUGAUGCAAGGUUAAGCAGUAAAUGUGGAGCCGUAGCGAAAGCGAGUCUGAAUAGGGCGUUUAGUAUUUGGUCGUAGACCCGAAACCAGGUGAUCUACCCUUGGUCAGGUUGAAGUUCAGGUAACACUGAAUGGAGGACCGAACCGACUUACGUUGAAAAGUGAGCGGAUGAACUGAGGGUAGCGGAGAAAUUCCAAUCGAACCUGGAGAUAGCUGGUUCUCUCCGAAAUAGCUUUAGGGCUAGCCUCAAGUGAUGAUUAUUGGAGGUAGAGCACUGUUUGGACGAGGGGCCCCUCUCGGGUUACCGAAUUCAGACAAACUCCGAAUGCCAAUUAAUUUAACUUGGGAGUCAGAACAUGGGUGAUAAGGUCCGUGUUCGAAAGGGAAACAGCCCAGACCACCAGCUAAGGUCCCAAAAUAUAUGUUAAGUGGAAAAGGAUGUGGCGUUGCCCAGACAACUAGGAUGUUGGCUUAGAAGCAGCCAUCAUUUAAAGAGUGCGUAAUAGCUCACUAGUCGAGUGACACUGCGCCGAAAAUGUACCGGGGCUAAACAUAUUACCGAAGCUGUGGAUUGUCCUUUGGACAAUGGUAGGAGAGCGUUCUAAGGGCGUUGAAGCAUGAUCGUAAGGACAUGUGGAGCGCUUAGAAGUGAGAAUGCCGGUGUGAGUAGCGAAAGACGGGUGAGAAUCCCGUCCACCGAUUGACUAAGGUUUCCAGAGGAAGGCUCGUCCGCUCUGGGUUAGUCGGGUCCUAAGCUGAGGCCGACAGGCGUAGGCGAUGGAUAACAGGUUGAUAUUCCUGUACCACCUAUAAUCGUUUUAAUCGAUGGGGGGACGCAGUAGGAUAGGCGAAGCGUGCGAUUGGAUUGCACGUCUAAGCAGUAAGGCUGAGUAUUAGGCAAAUCCGGUACUCGUUAAGGCUGAGCUGUGAUGGGGAGAAGACAUUGUGUCUUCGAGUCGUUGAUUUCACACUGCCGAGAAAAGCCUCUAGAUAGAAAAUAGGUGCCCGUACCGCAAACCGACACAGGUAGUCAAGAUGAGAAUUCUAAGGUGAGCGAGCGAACUCUCGUUAAGGAACUCGGCAAAAUGACCCCGUAACUUCGGGAGAAGGGGUGCUCUUUAGGGUUAACGCCCAGAAGAGCCGCAGUGAAUAGGCCCAAGCGACUGUUUAUCAAAAACACAGGUCUCUGCUAAACCGUAAGGUGAUGUAUAGGGGCUGACGCCUGCCCGGUGCUGGAAGGUUAAGAGGAGUGGUUAGCUUCUGCGAAGCUACGAAUCGAAGCCCCAGUAAACGGCGGCCGUAACUAUAACGGUCCUAAGGUAGCGAAAUUCCUUGUCGGGUAAGUUCCGACCCGC
rnacentral:rRNA from 1 species